rnacentral:rRNA from 1 species
UACAGAGGUCCCGAGCGUUGUUCGGAUUCACUGGGCGUAAAGGGUGCGUAGGUGGCGAGGAAAGUCGGAUGUGAAAGCUCGGAGCUCAACUCCGAAAUGGCAUUGGAAACUACCUUGCUCGAGGGUUGGAGGGGGGACUGGAAUUCUCGGUGUAGCAGUGAAAUGCGUAGAUAUCGAGAGGAACACCAGUGGCGAAGGCGAGUCCCUGGACAACUCCUGACACUGAGGCACGAAAGCGUGGGUAGCAAACAGG